rnacentral:lncRNA from 1 species
CAAAUUGUUACAUAUUACCAUGAUAUAUAGUAUAUAGCAAGAUAUUUAACACCUUCAUGUUUUAGCUGACUUUUAAAAACCUUGCAUGCUUUCUACAUCCACACAAUUGUGAAAGGCUCACAAAGCUAACAAACAAAAAAAAAACACUCAGUCAAGAUAUGGCCAUAAAAUACAUGGACUUUGGAUCCUGAACAAGAAUGAUCCUUAACCAGACAACCUACACUUGUGAGCGUUCUUUUGCUUGACGUGAGGUAGUGGUGUGAGUCAUCCUCCUUGACUAUUUUAAACGUAUGGGGCAGGACAAUAAUAGAUCAAGGAGUGCUAAAGACAUGCCAAUAACAACAGUAGUAAAAGGUUUGACUACUGGGUGUAACCCGUCUUGACGUUUGAAAAUGAAAGUGAAUUAUCCUACGCUCUUACAAAUCUGUCACUGAAAGCUGGUUAGUCUCACACACACAAAGGCAGCUGAGGAACAUACACGUGAGGAUGGGUGCAGUGUACAGUCUUCUGGAAGUGGCAUACAAUACCUUCUAUCCACAGGCCGUCGACAGCACCUCUCAGACCGUUGAAAGAGUCCAUGACGAUGGAGACCUUGACGCCACAGAUUCUGCCAGCGUCACCCCUACAUCAACGUUGGGGAGAACAAAAAGAGAAGAUGUGGACAAAAGGAACAUCAAUGUGAUAUGUACUGGGAAAAGAGUGGAAGUGAACGUUUUCCCUGAUGAGAGGGUCGCAAGCUUAUUACAGGAUGCCUGUGAAAAGUUGGGGAAGAAACCCAACUUCAUGUGCAUAGUUUUAAAUGGAGAGGUUUUGGACGUUAAGAAAAGGAUCAGAGACUACAACCUGCGUGGUGGACAGACAGUUCAUCUCAUCAGAGGAGCUCCCAGUAUUGACCUUUCAGACUAG